GGAACAGUUAAAAAUAAAUAAACAAAAGGUAGUUUUUAUAGCUAAUAAGCUAAGAAACUCAAUUUCGAUACUUGAUGAUUUUUAAUUUUUCAUAUGGAGUUGGUUCAUUUAUAUCUAUAUCAUGUUUCUAAAUCAAUACUGGACUUGCAUAAAAAAAUAACUAAUUUUUAAAUAACUAGAAGGUCAUCUAAGACAAAAGCCUUUUUUCUUUUGUGGAAAUUAUUAAAAUCAUUAAAAUUGCAUGCAAUGAUGAAUUCACUGCAAUAAAUUAUGUAAUAAUUUAUUGCAUUACAUAAGAUUGCACAAUAAAAUAAAAAAAUAAUACUUACCCUCCAGGGAAUGAAAUUUCUUGGCAUUCCUACCCAUGCUGAUCUAAUUUGUCCAGCAUUGCGAAGCACCUGUCGUCCACUUCUAACUCCGU